UUUUGGUUCCUACUAGAUGGAGAAUUAUAGCGUAUAUAGUAUAGCUUAGUAUAAUAUGGCGUACAUGUGUAACAUGUCAAUUAUUUGGUCUAUUUUAAAGAUUGUCAGAAUUGUCAAUGCAAAUUGAAAUGUCAAAAUGCCUUGCUGCGUUGCAAUUAAUUGCAGCAACAGGUCCGAACAAGGAUAUAAACUGUUCAGAUUCCCAGAGGGUUCCCGGGGAGUAACGUGGGUGGAAAAUGUGCGGCGUGGAGAUAAGUGGGCACCAACGGAGACUUCGCGCUUGUGUGAGAAACAUUUUGAAGAUUCACAAUUUGAAGCCCGUCGAGCAGAUGGUUGGAAGAAAUUGAAGCCGAAUGCCAUCCCAACGUUAUUCGAUGUACCAAAUCCGCCAUCCAUCAUCAAUCCACUUCCGCGGAAAUCACUGUGCAAGAAUCGUAACAAUAAUAUUGCUCCUGUCCCUUCCAAAGCAACAGUAAACGAAUUUGUACCGGCAGUUGAACAUAAUUAUUCAAUUCGACCUCAGGAAACACGGAAUGAAGCAAGUAAUUCUCGAUCCAUCGACGAAACAUUGGCUGUUCAUUCGAAAACAGCGGAACCUAUAAUAUUUCAACAACCGGUACAUUUGCAUAAUUUCAUUCAUAUGCAAUACAGUAUUGCGAAGAACGGAAUGCAUGUAUGAAGAUAUUAAUAAUUUGUGUUCUAAUAUCUUAGAAUUUGGUUAAUGCUGAAAACACAAUCCAUAAUAUGAUAGGACAAGAGCUCAAUCCCGAGCCAGUACAAGUAGAUGUAUCGAUAAUCCCAGAAAGCGAGGCAGACGAGCUAGCACGGCUGAGGUGUGAGAAUCAAGAGUUGCAGACAGAACGAACAAAUUUAAAAAAGUUAUUGGCAGAGAACCUGAAAUUACGUGACCA